GUGAACCUGCGGAAGGAUCAUUACAGAGUUCCUGCCCUCACGGGUAGAAACCCCACCCUUGUGUAUAUUAUAUUGUUGCUUUAGCAGGUCGCCCUCUGGGGCGUCGGCCUCGGCUGACUGUGCCUGCUAGAGGACCCUAAACUUUGAAAUACAGUGUCGUCUGAGUACUAUUUAAUAGUUAAAACUUUCAACAACGGAUCUCUUGGUUCUGGCAUCGAUGAAGAACGCAGCGAAAUGCGAUAAGUAAUGUGAAUUGCAGAAUUCAGUGAAUCAUCGAAUCUUUGAACGCACAUUGCGCCCCUUGGUAUUCCGGGGGGCAUGCCUGUUCGAGCGUCAUUUAGACCAACUCCCGCUCCGGCGGGGUCUUGGGCUGCGCCUUUGGGCGGGCCUUAAAACCAGUGGCGGUGCCCUAAGGCUCUACGCGUAGUAAUUCUUCUCGCGAUAGGGUCCUUGCGGUGUCUUGCCAGCAACCCCCAACUCUCUAGGGUUGACCUCGGAUCAGGUAGGGAUACCCGCUGAACUUAAGCAUAUCAAUAAG
rnacentral:sRNA from 1 species